rnacentral:rRNA from 1 species
AACGCUAGCUACAGGCUUAACACAUGCAAGUCGAGGGGCAGCAUGGUCUUAGCUUGCUAAGGCCGAUGGCGACCGGCGCACGGGUGAGUAACACGUAUCCAACCUGCCGUCUACUCUUGGACAGCCUUCUGAAAGGAAGAUUAAUACAAGAUGGCAUCAUGAGUCCGCAUGUUCACAUGAUUAAAGGUAUUCCGGUAGACGAUGGGGAUGCGUUCCAUUAGAUAGUAGGCGGGGUAACGGCCCACCUAGUCUUCGAUGGAUAGGGGUUCUGAGAGGAAGGUCCCCCACAUUGGAACUGAGACACGGUCCAAACUCCUACGGGAGGCAGCAGUGAGGAAUAUUGGUCAAUGGGCGAGAGCCUGAACCAGCCAAGUAGCGUGAAGGAUGACUGCCCUAUGGGUUGUAAACUUCUUUUAUAAAGGAAUAAAGUCGGGUAUGGAUACCCGUUUGCAUGUACUUUAUGAAUAAGGAUCGGCUAACUCCGUGCCAGCAGCCGCGGUAAUACGGAGGAUCCGAGCGUUAUCCGGAUUUAUUGGGUUUAAAGGGAGCGUAGAUGGAUGUUUAAGUCAGUUGUGAAAGUUUGCGGCUCAACCGUAAAAUUGCAGUUGAUACUGGAUAUCUUGAGUGCAGUUGAGGCAGGCGAAAUUCGUGGUGUAGCGGUGAAAUGCUUAGAUAUCACGAAGAACUCCGAUUG